rnacentral:rRNA from 1 species
UACGUAGGGGGCAAGCGUUGUCCGGAAUCAUUGGGCGUAAAGGGCUCGUAGGUGGCCAACUAAGUCAGACGUGAAAUCCCUCAGCUUAACUGGGGAACUGCGUCUGAUACUGGAUGGCUUGAGUUUGGGAGAGGGAUGCGGAAUUCCAGGUGUAGCGGUGAAAUGCGUAGAUAUCUGGAGGAACACCGGUGGCGAAGGCGGCAUCCUGGACCAACACUGACACUGAGGAGCGAAAGCCAGGGGAGCAAACGGG